CGAACGCUGGCGGCAGGCUUAACACAUGCAAGUCGAGCGCCCCGCAAGGGGAGCGGCAGACGGGUGAGUAACGCGUGGGAACGUACCUUUUGCUACGGAAUAACUCAGGGAAACUUGUGCUAAUACCGUAUGUGCCCUUCGGGGGAAAGAUUUAUCGGCAAAGGAUCGGCCCGCGUUGGAUUAGCUAGUUGGUGAGGUAAAGGCUCACCAAGGCGACGAUCCAUAGCUGGUCUGAGAGGAUGAUCAGCCACACUGGGACUGAGACACGGCCCAGACUCCUACGGGAGGCAGCAGUGGGGAAUAUUGGACAAUGGGCGCAAGCCUGAUCCAGCCAUGCCGCGUUGAGUGAUGAAGGCCCUAGGGUUGUAAAGCUCUUUUCACCGGUGAAGAUAAUGACGGUAACCGGAGAAGAAGCCCCGCUAACUUC
rnacentral:rRNA from 2 species